UGCAGUCGAACGGUGAAGCGGAGCUUGCUCUGCUGGAUCAGUGGCGAACGGGUGAGUAACACGUGAGCAAUCUGCCCCUGACUCUGGGAUAAGCGCUGGAAACGGCGUCUAAUACUGGAUACGAGCUGCGAAGGCAUCUUCAGCAGCUGGAAAGAAUUUCGGUCAGGGAUGAGCUCGCGGCCUAUCAGCUUGUUGGUGAGGUAACGGCUCACCAAGGCGUCGACGGGUAGCCGGCCUGAGAGGGUGACCGGCCACACUGGGACUGAGACACGGCCCAGACUCCUACGGGAGGCAGCAGUGGGGAAUAUUGCACAAUGGGCGCAAGCCUGAUGCAGCAACGCCGCGUGAGGGACGACGGCCUUCGGGUUGUAAACCUCUUUUAGCAGGGAAGAAGCGAAAGUGACGGUACCUGCAGAAAAAGCGCCGGCUAACUACGUGCCAGCAGCCGCGGUAAUACGUAGGGCGCAAGCGUUAUCCGGAAUUAUUGGGCGUAAAGAGCUCGUAGGCGGUUUGUCGCGUCUGCUGUGAAAACCCGAGGCUCAACCUCGGGCCUGCAGUGGGUACGGGCAGACUAGAGCGCGGUAGGGGAGAUUGGAAUUCCUGGUGUAGCGGUGGAAUGCGCAGAU
rnacentral:rRNA from 1 species